GAGAGUGAGAGUCAACAGUUAGUCUCACUUGACAUUAAUAUUUUCACGUUACAAGAAUCAGUUAAGAAAACUUAAUCUAUUCAUAUUAGAACCAGUCUUUGUCAGUUUAUCAGGUAAGUUUAGUUGUAACGUCGCAUUGAAUACUAAUUCUUGUGUGUUUUCUCCGAUCCGGUCAACUCUCCGGCCCCCACCGUUUUUGUCUAGUCACCGACAUACAUUACUUCUUAAUUUAAUGCUACAUCUUGUAGUAAACAAGCUAAUAUUUUUGUUUUUGUUUGUUACAGCAAUCAAAUUAUACUACA
rnacentral:lncRNA from 1 species